rnacentral:rRNA from 1 species
GACACGGGGGGCAGCAGUGGGGAAUAUUGCACAAUGGGGGAAACCCUGAUGCAGCGACGCCGCGUGAAGGAAGAAGUAUUUCGGUAUGUAAACUUCUAUCAGCAGGGAAGAAAAUGACGGUACCUGACUAAGAAGCCCCGGCUAACUACGUGCCAGCAGCCGCGGUAAUACGUAGGGGGCAAGCGUUAUCCGGAUUUACUGGGUGUAAAGGGAGCGUAGGCGGCUUAGCAAGUCAGAAGUGAAAGCCCGGGGCUCAACUCCGGGACUGCUUUUGAAACUGUUGAACU